rnacentral:misc_RNA from 1 species
UCUCCGUUGGUGGACCAGCGGAGGGAUCAUUACCGAGUUUUCUACUCCCAAACCCCUGUGAACUUAUACCUUUACCGUUGCUUCGGCGGGUUAACGCCCCGGAAAGGCCCCCGAAAGGGAGCCGCCCCGGAACCAGGCGCCCGCCGGGGGGACCCAAACUCUUGUAUUUUCUUACCUAGCAUGUCUGAGUGGAAUCAUAAACAAAUGAAUCAAAACUUUCAACAACGGAUCUCUUGGUUCUG